AUUGAACGCUGGCGGCAGGCCUAACACAUGCAAGUCGAGCGGAGCGGCGGACGGGUGAGUAAUGCCUAGGUAUCUGCCUGGUAGUGGGGGAGAACGUCAGGAAACGGGCGCUAAUACCGCAUACUAUCUGCUUAGCCUAGGUCGGAUUGGCUAGUUGGUGGGGUAAAGGCCUACAAAGGCGACGAUCCGUAACGGGUCUGAGAGGAUGAUCAGGCACACUGGAACUGAGACACGGUCCAGACUCCUACGGGAGGCAGCAGUGGGGAAUAUUGGACAAUGGGCGAAAGCCUGACCGAGCAAUGCCGCGUGAGUGAAGAAGGUUUUCGGAUCGUAAAGCUCUGUUGGUAGGGAGGCGGUAUCUACCCAAGAAGCCACGGCUAACUACGUGCCAGCAGCCGCGGUAAUAC
rnacentral:rRNA from 1 species